UUUAAAUUUAUUUAANUUGGCGGCAUUUUUUUGAUAGAGGAAUUUGUUUUUUAAUUUGAUGGUCCACGUUUUACCUUACUCUAUUGUUAAUAGUUUAUAUACCGUUGUUGAAUUAAUUUUUAAAUAAAUUUUUGAGAGAAUAUUUUGUUUUGAUUUCAAAUCAAGGUGUAGCUUAUGGAUGGAGGAUAAAAUUAGUUACUUUUUGUUUAUGAUUAAUCUGUUUAUUUAUUAGUAUUUGGUGAAUAGAUUUAGGAGGAUUUAUCUGUAGGAGAGAAUUAGUAGGUCUUUUUGAUUAAUUUUAAUGGAAAUGUGUACAUACCGCCCGUCGCUCGCGGGA
rnacentral:rRNA from 1 species